rnacentral:rRNA from 1 species
AUGAACGCUAGCGGCAGGCCUAACACAUGCAAGUCGAGGGAGGAGCCUUCGGGCUUCGACCGGCGUACGGGUGCGUAACGCGUAUACAAUCUGCCUUUCACAUAGGGAUAGCCCGAAGAAAUUUGGAUUAAUACCUAAUGGUAUAUAGAUGUGGCAUCACCUUUAUAUUAAAGCUGAGGCGGUGAAAGAUGAGUAUGCGUUCUAUUAGCUAGUUGGAGAGGUAACGGCUCCCCAAGGCGACGAUAGAUGGGGGUUCUGAGAGGGAUAUCCCCCACACUGGUACUGAGAUACGGACCAGACUCCUACGGGAGGCAGCAGUGAGGAAUAUUGGACAAUGGUCGGAAGACUGAUCCAGCCAUGCCGCGUGCAGGAAGACGGCCUUAUGGGUUGUAAACUGCUUUUGCAGGGGAAGAAUAAGGACUACGCGUAGUUUGAUGACGGUACUCUGAGAAUAAGCAUCGGCUAACUCCGUG